ACGGACUACCGUGAGGGUUCAAGUCCCUCUACCCCCA
rnacentral:tRNA from 1 species